AUUGAACGCUGGCGGCAUGCUUUACACAUGCAAGUCGAACGGUAACAGGGUGCUUGCACCGCUGACGAGUGGCGAACGGGUGAGUAAUGCGUCGGAACGUGCCGAGUAGUGGGGGAUAACGCAGCGAAAGUUGUGCUAAUACCGCAUACGUACUGAGGUAGAAAGUGGGGGACCUUCGGGCCUCACGCUAUUCGAGCGGCCGACGUCCGAUUAGCUAGUAGGUGAGGUAAAGGCUCACCUAGGCGACGAUCAGUAGCGGGUCUGAGAGGAUGAUCCGCCACAAGGGGACUGUGACACGGCCCAGACUCCUACGGGAGGAAGCAGUGGGGAAUUUUGGACAAUGGGCGAAAGCCUGAUCCAGCCAUGCCGCGUGUCUGAAGAAGGCCUUCGGGUUGUAAAGGACUUUUGUCAGGGAGGAAAUCCCUAGUGCUAAUAACACUGGGGGAUGACAGUACCUGAAGAAUAAGCACCGGCUAACUACGUGCCAGCCGCCGCCGUAA
rnacentral:rRNA from 1 species